UUACGGUCACACCACGUUGAAACACCAGUUCCUGUACGAUAACCGAAGUUAAGCAACGUCGAGCCUGGUCAGUACCUUGGUGGAUGACCGUUUGGAUAUACCAGGUGCUGUAAG